CUUGUUGAGUACCGUCAUUAUCUUCCUCAACAACAGGAGUUUACAAUCCGAAGACCUUCUUCCUCCACGCGGCGUCGCUGCAUCAGGGUUUCCCCCAUUGUGCAAUAUUCC
rnacentral:rRNA from 1 species